rnacentral:rRNA from 1 species
AUCUCAUAAGGCUAAAUACUCUUACUAACCGAUAGCGCAUAGUACCGUGAGGGAAAGGUGAAAAGAACCCCUGGAGGGGAGUGAAAUAGAACCUGAAAUUGUGUGCUUACAAGCGGUCAGAGCCAGUAAUGGUGAUGGCGUGCCUUUUGGAGAAUGAUCCUGCGAGUUACGUUAAACGGCGAGGUUAAGUAUAACGGAGCCGAAGGGAAACCAAGUCUUAAUAGGGCGAUUUAGUCGUUUGGCGUAGACGCGAAACCUGGUGAUCUAAACCUGUCCAGGAUGAAGCUGUGGUAAGACACAGUGGAGGUCCUAACCCACCGCCGUUGAAAAGUUGGGGGAUGAGGUAGGUUUAGGGGUGAAAAGCCAAUCGAACCAGGAGAUAGCUCGUUCUCUCCGAAAUGUAUCUAGGUACAGCCUUGAGUGUUCAAUUAUGGGGGUAGAGCACUGAAUGAUCUAGGGGGCGUAUUGCUUACUGAAAUCAAUCAAACUCCGAAUACCAUAAUUUAGAGCUCAGGAGUGAGACUAUGGGAGUUAACUUCCAUUGUCGAAAGGGAAACAACCCAGACCACCAGCUAAGGUCCCUAAUUAUAACUAAGUGGGAAAGGAGGUGGAGAUUCACAAACAACUAGGAGGUUGGCUUAGAAGCAGCCAUACCUUUAAAGAGUGCGUAAUAGCUCACUAGUCGAGAGUCUCUGCGCCGACAAUGUAACGGGGCUAAGUUAUAAACCGAAGCUGUGGAAUCCGUAAGGAUUGGUAGGAGAGCGUUCUGUAGGCCGUUGAAGGAGAAGGGUAACCGACUCUGGAGGUAUCAGAAGUGAGAAUGCAGGAAUAAGUAGCGAGAAAGGGGGCGAGAAUCCCCCUCGCCGGAAGACCAAGGUUUUCAGGGUAAAGCUUGUCUAAACCGACACAGGUGGUCAGGAUGAGAAAUCUAAGGCGGACAGGCUAACUCUCGUUAAGGAACUCUGCAAAAUAACCUCGUAACUUCGGGAGAAGAGGAGCCCUUGAGGGUCAGUAUCCACGCGAUACAAAGCGCUCGAGGGUCGCAGUGAAGAGGCUCAAGCAACUGUUUAACAAAAACACAGGUCUAUGCUAAGCUGGAAGGCGAUGUAUAUGGGCUGACACCUGCCCAGUGCUGGAAGGUUAAGAGGAGGAGUGAGAGCUCCGAAUUGAAGCCCCAGUGAACGGCGGCCGUAACUAUAACGGUCCUAAGGUAGCGAAAUUCCUUGUCGGGUAAGUUCCGACCUGCACGAAUGGUGUAAUGAUUUGAGCGCUGUCUUGACGGGAGGCCUGGUGAAAUUGUAUUACCGGUGAAGAUACCGGUUACCUACAGUAGGACGGAAAGACCCCAUGGAGCUUUACUGUAGCUUGGUAUUGGGUUUUGGCAUUGCAUGUAUAGGAUAGUUGGGAGACUGAGAUGAUAUGGCGCUAGCUGUAUCGGAGUCAUCGGUGGAAUACCAACCAUUCAAUGCUGAAAUUCUAAUCUGUGGUUUGUAGCCACGGAGACAGUGCUAGGUGGGCAGUUUGACUGGGGCGGUCGCCUCCGAAAGAGUAACGGAGGCGUUCAAAGGUUCUCUCAGGUUGGAUGGAAAUCAACCAUAGAGUGCAAUGGCAUAAGAGAGCUUGACUGCAAGACUGACGGGUCGAGCAGAUGCGAAAGCAGGACAUAGUGAUCCGGCGAUUCCGAAUGGAAGGGUCGUCGCUCAACGGAUAAAAGCUACCCUGGGGAUAACAGGCUGAUCCUACCCGAGAGUCCAUAUCGACGGUAGGGUUUGGCACCUCGAUGUCGGCUCAUCGCAUCCUGGGGCUGGAGAAGGUCCCAAGGGUUGGGCUGUUCGCCCAUUAAAGCGGUACGUGAGCUGGGUUCAGAACGUCGUGAGACAGUUCGGUCCCUAUCCACUGUAGGCGUUAGAAUAUUGAGAAGACCUGUCCUUAGUACGAGAGGACCGGGAUGGACAAACCUCUGAUGUACCAGUUGUCACGCCAGUGGCACAGCUGGGUAGUCACGUUUGGAAUAGAUAACCGCUGAAAGCAUCUAAGCGGGAAACUAACUUCAAGAUAAGUAUUCUUUAAGAUACCUUCGAGCCUAGGAGGUUGAUAGGUUGGGGGUGUAAGUGCAGCAAUGCAUUUAGCUGACCAAUACUAAUUAUCGAAGUUUUAAUC